UAAAUUACUGAAAACCCAGUUAUAAAUACACAUUUUUUCACUUGCUCCCUUAACUUUCAAAAAUAUAUAUUUUAGCCCCUCAAUAUUUCAAGUUGUUGUAUUUAGCCCCUUCUGUCAGGUUCCAUCACUACUCUGUCAAUUUCUUAUAAUUUAUACCAAAAAUGUCCUUUAAAAUAACAGAAAUAUAUUAAAAAAUUAUUUUUUCUUUAUAGAAGAAGGAAGGGUAAUUUGGUUACUUUGCUCUCUCCAUUAAUAAUGUACCUUUCUGAAAAUAUUUCUGAAAUUUUAAGAGGACAUAAUAUAAGUUUUUAAAAAUCAGAAAAGGAAAGUGAAAAAGUGAGUAUUUACAAGAAAGUUUUUUAUAAUUUAGCCUACUAUUUUUUUUCUGUAAAUUAUUUUUUUAAUAAUAUAGUGUUAAAACUAAUAAUAAGUCCCCUCAUAUAUUCCUAACUAUUUUUCUACUAUCUCCUCUUUUAUUUGUUCAGUAAAUACUGGGGCAAAAGUGAUUAGGAUAAACUCCGAUCGCAUCCAACACCAGAUUCGAUCGGAUGUGAAUACAUAUAUCAAAAUUAUGUAUCUGGUCGAAUUUGAAUUUGAAUUUGAAUUCGGAUAUUAUGUUUGUAAAUUUUUGGAAUUCGGAUUCGGAUUUGGAUAUCUGA
rnacentral:lncRNA from 1 species